CACGAACCCGACAAACGUUAUUCGGAAUUAUUGGGCUUAAAGGGUGCGUAGGCGGUGCGGUAAGUGCGGUUUGAAAUCCCACGGCUCAACCGUGGAAUUGCGCUGCAUACUGCCGUGCUGGAGGAAGACAGGGGUAAGCGGAACUGAUGGUGGAGCGGUGAAAUGCGUUGAUAUCAUCAGGAACACCGGUGGCGAAAGCGGCUUACUGGGUCUUUUCUGACGCUGAGGCACGAAAGCUAGGGUAGCGAACGGG
rnacentral:rRNA from 1 species